CGCUCAUCCAGCACAGGGCAACCCAAUCUGCCCAUCGUUCUCCCGCACGGCCGCCGGUCCUCCCGCGCAGGCGAUACCAACCCAACCUGACACCACUAGAGCGCCACCAGUUCGCUGCCCUUCCUCCUCUCUUCCAUCCAGUUUCCUUCUCCUCCCGUCGUGCGCUGCGCGCCCACGGCGACCACAUCUCCAUCACGCCUCAUAUGUGCGUCGCCGCCACUGUAGGCCUCCUCUGCAGCCCGGCCAAAUCUGGCCACCACCUCGAGGUCAGCACCGCUCCUCACCGCGCCAUGGCCGCCGCCCUCGCUCGCGCGUCGCUCGCCUCACAACACACCAUCCUGCUCGCGCUACCCGUCCACCACCGCGCGCUGCCGCCAUCAGCCGUCUGCUUCGACCGACCGGCCGCCACCAGUAUGACGUCUCCUGGGCGCUGGGUUGGGGCCGGGCGCGACUCCGUUGCUGCUACCCCAAGUCGUCGAGGAGCAACAUGAAUCGGGCUGGGCGCACCCGUUCCUCUGCUCCGAUCUUCUAGGCGCGGUUGGACGCGGGCCGUCCGCCGUUUGGUCACUGGCGUCGUUGUUCUGCUCUGCUAUCGUCAUCGUUUGCGAGGAGCCCGGUUCCAUCAGUAGCGCCGUCUUCCCAGGGACACCACAUUCUGGUUUUCCACACACUGCUACUAAGUAUGGACUAAGCUUCUCGAUGUGGAGAUCAUGUAAUCAUGUUGUUCUUCAGUAAUUUUUCAUUUGCUGAUACUGACUACACAGCCCACUGCCUGAACAUCUGUGCAUCCCCUCAACUGGCCCACACUUUUAUCUUAUCAGUUGCCAUUUACGGCCGUCCAAUAAACUCUUAUCCUAAAAAUCAAAGAAACCCUUCUGUUGAACGUCAUUGAUGAUUGACGCUUCACAUCCUCUCCCCACUAUGUCCACAAGAAACUGAUGGAUUCCCAUUUAAAUUGGGUGCUCCACAACUCAUUUCAUUCCCGUCGUCUUCCAUACGGGUGGCCGUCUGCCAUACUACUCAUGCAGCUACCGGUGGUGAGAAACUCCCUCCAAUGGUUCCGUCAUCUUAAAUCCACCUCAUGAGCCCCUCUCCCUUCCCAAUCCGCUCUGUGGACCAUGACCAUAUUCAUGCUCCACCAUCACUGUUGUGACGCCGGGAAUAACAAGGCUGUUGUCAUGGGAUGUUGAUAGGCCGAAGAGGAGAAUGGUGACAGUAAGGAGGCCAGUACAAAUCUACACUUCCUAAAUACAGGAGAUACGGGGUGCUGACAGAAAUUAGAAGAGCAAUUUCUACCGUAAUUUGGACAUUGUUUCUUUCAAGGCUGCAAAUGGAAUACCUCACAUUCUUUAUUCCAAAAUCAGUUUCAGGUGUUCUAGAAAGUGGAAUUCUGGAAUUUUGAUCUUCUGCUGCGAGAGAGCAAAAAAUUGUUUGUCCAUUAUGCUAUAAUUGUUGUUUUAUAGACCCGGUUCAUGAAUCCUUAGUGAAAUCUUUUGUUUCGUUAUGCUAUUGCUUGAUGAAAGUUCAUGCCUUGGCCGAUGGAAAGGUAUGUUGAACUUGCUAUGAUGUAGCCGAUGUAAAGUUCAUUUUUCCAUGUACUCAUAUACCACCACGUGUAUCAGUUAGUUCAUUUUCCUCAUAUGUUUCUACCGCACAUUACUACUAUUUUACGGCUAUGCCCUACCGCACAUUACUACUAUUUUACGGCUAUGCCUAUGGAUUUUAAGUUCUGGAAAUAGGUAAUGCUGAUAAGGCUGUCAAGCUUUGCGUGUAAACUAAACAUGUGGAAAAAUUCAGUGUCGCCUAUACUAAAAAAUCAUGCCCAUCACACCUUUUUUUCAAUUUGUAGCAGUGAGCAGAAAAGUAGGAGUGCAUUUUAUUUAGCUUCAAUUGGUUCAUGUAUGAUGAAUUGAUGACCAACAUUUUUGUCUUGAAAGCCAUUUGUAGAUACUUUCCGUGCAACAUUGCAAACUAGCUUUUCUAUUUCUAUAUUUUAUUUGUAGGCCAUUAUAUUACGACUGAGAAUGCAAAGAACCUGAAUGGUAAAGAUUUAAGCUUAUCCUCAUUUUUCCAGCUACCCAGGUCUUCUUAAUGUUGCCGAUUAUUGUCGUCUUAGACUCUGAGUUGACUUCUUAACAACGAUUAUACCACAUAUAAUGUAUAUAUUAUUGAUUCAAAUUAGUUGUCUUCUUUUGUAUGUCGAUGUUACUCUAAAAAUCCGUGACAUAUUCCUGCAGCAAUGCGCGGGGCAUCAUCUAGU